UGUGGCUCUGGCAAGAAUCUACCUCAGUCCUAAAAGCAUCAAGAGGCCAUCAAAGGGUUUACAUCAGUGCAUGACGUGGAGACUUCUCUGGGAUGCAAGUCACUUUGAGGGCCCCAGUGGACACAGACCCACCUGGACAGGAGCAGAGAGACAGCAGAGAGGGUACAUACACACCACAGCAAAGCUUCGGGGAAGGAGCCCACAUMGUGAAAACGAACACUGAACCAUUAUACUCUGUUACUCAAGGCGUCUGAACCGAACCUGAAGACCUCCCAACCAGCAAGGUGUCCAGGUCCACCCUCCUAUAUCACGG
rnacentral:lncRNA from 1 species